CAGAGGGCUCUCACCGGGCACUGAAUCCACCAAUGGCGUGAUCCUGGACUUCCUGCCUCCAGAACUGUGAGAAAUCAAUGUUUGUCAUUUAAGCCAGCCCGCCUCCCCCCACCCCCACUUCCCGCCUCAGUUCUGUUCCCUGAUCCCCAGCCCGGGCCCCUCCAAGGGCUGUUCCCUCUGGGAAGUCACAGCCCCCUGGGACCCAGGAUCGGAUAUUAGCCCACGCCUCUGCCCCUUCCCAGCUGCCCUGCCUUCAGGAUGAUGUCCAGAUUCUGACGGUCCUGCAGGUCCUGGCAGGUUGUGACCGACCUGCUGUCCCGCCUGAGCUGUCACCCCUGCUCCUGUCACAGCACUCCUGACCGACCUGCUUGCUGCUCCACAGAGUUCUCUCCCGUUCGGGGUGGGGGUUUGCUUCUGUCCAUCCUGCUCUCGGGGGCUCCCUUCAUCCUCCUUUCGUGGCCUGGUCCUUCUUUGUCCCCAAUCUCAAAUGUCACUUCUGCUAAAAUCUCCCCUGGCCCACCUGGGCCCCCUCUCCCCAGAGUCUCCCCUUCAGAGCCACAAGCACCAGGCUGGGCUGCCUCCUGGUCGAAUCCUUUGAGCUUUGCAGCCCCUGCGGCGGCCCCGCCAGGGGAGCUUUCAUCACAGACCGGGCCUGGCAGGUGGGGCCAUGUCCAGGGGGCAGACGGCCCUGCCCCCACUAGGACACCAGGGUAGAGGCUCUCCGAGCGUGGACCAUGAUAUCAGUGCCACUGGGACGGUCAAGGGUGAAGAUUCUCAGACCUCAUCCAGGCCGGUGAAUCAGAAGCCCCGGGGAGGUGUGCUCCUGCAAGCCCCCCAGGGGCUUCUGAUGCCGGCCAGGUAUGAGAGCCCCGGGCCGGGGAGAGAACUGCCAGGAUGAGCUGCCGCCCCCUUGGCAGCCUCCCCUGUCCCCUGUGCACUCAGGUCUCCACGUCAGCAUCCGAAGCCUCUGUGUCCUGAAGGCGCACUCCGAGGAGACGGUUUGCCACCAAAGCUUAAAGCCAGGUGUCAAUAAACCCACUGGGGACCAGGCCGGACGGACUUUGGAAGAAAAGGUGCUGCGUGCCCUUCAGCAGUUCCAGCGAAAGACCCAUCAGUUGGUGCCUCAGUCCCCUGGGCUUCCAGCCAAGCACACCUGACUGGAUUAAUGAGCAUCUGGUUGGGGAAGAAAAGUAGCCAGAGGCGGCAGGACAUUUGUGAGAGAAGCGGGGGACACCAUUCACCAGCAAGAACAGCAGCAUAAGCCGGCGUGAACUCCAACCAUCCUGGGCAAGUGCCCGGGGGUCCCCUGGCUUGGAACCAGUUGAAGCUGAUUAUGAGAGAUUCCACUGUCAUGCUGCAACCAAGCAAAAACACAAUAUGCACAGUUGCUAGAAAAGUCACCCCUCCGUUGACUGUUGUCUGUGUGCAUCAGAAAGGUGAUGCCACAGACCUGUGGUGAGGGCAAGGUGGAAUGAGACAAGAGUGACAGUUUGGCGUGGAGGGUGGCAUUUGGCUACGUAAGGACACAGCGCGGACCCAAUUACAACUGAGGCCAGAGCCAUUAUAUCCCAGGGUCAAAACGGGGACCCUGCUGUUCCCCUGCUCCAAGCCUCUAAGCAGUCCCCAUGGUUGACUGAGAGAAGCAGGCCACCUGCACUGAAGACUUGCUCUCCGGGCCCCAUCCUGGAAGCACAGGCCUCCUCCCAGCUGGCCUCCAGGAUGUCUCACCCCUGCGCCUCUGCUCCAUGGUGUAUGGAAGUUCCCAGGCUAGGGGUUGAAUUGAAGCUGCAGCUCAGACUCAGCCAGAUCUGAGCCACAUCUGCCACCAACACCACAGCUCACGGCAACACUGGAUCCUUAACCCACUGAGCAAGGCCAGGGAUGCUAGUUGGGUUCGUUACUACCGAGCCACCACGGGAGCUCCAGGUGAUCCUUUUGAGGAAAGGAAUUGAGGUUAUUUAAUUGGGGGAGGGUCAGGAGUGCCUGAGCCCCGUCUUGACGUGGUUAUCAAGGUUGGGAAAGAUGUUGUCUGCUCGUCUCCUGUUUUUGCAAAAAGCCACUCAGAUUGAGUUCCAGGAAGGACUGUCUUGCAUGAUGACACAUUUCGGCCGGGUCCCUAUUUGUGACAGACCCAGGGGAGCAAGCUAGAUUCCAGGGCGAAGCGGCUAAUUCCAACUGGGACGGGGCACUUCAGACGCCAGCCUCCUCUCUGAAGGGGACGCUGGGACAGUCUGGGGAGAGAAACCCGAGGCCUUCGGUUUGUGAACAAGCUGGCGGGAACCGCCAGGACGAAGGUGUGGCGAGCGGCCCAGGACAGGGAGGCGGGAAUCUAAAGCUGAUGCGACAGAGACUCGACCCUCUGCUCUGCUUCUGCUUGAAGGUGGGUGGGCGACAGCUGUGGCAGGGGGACACCACUGGACAGACAGGCACUCUCGUGAUCCUCAGCGCCUUGGAGCCUAGAGGGGCAGGGAGGGUCCUGUCGGGGCCAGAUGUCCUUAAGAAGAGACAGAAAAAGAACCUCUGCGUGCCCACUACGGGACGGAAGUCGCCUCCCUCCCCUCCUUCCUUCCCUCCGAUUCAUUCAUUCAUUCCUUCGACCUGAGCCUCGGUGCUGUGGCAGCUGCCAGCACAGAAGCAGAGCAGGGAAAGAUGAGAGGCGAGGCGGAUGAACAAGUGCAUUGUGGGGCCGUAUGAGAGGUGCGUGGAGGCUGCGUGGAGGGGUUCUGGAGGAAGUGAACAAGGAGGAGCUGGUCAGGGAGGAGGACUGGAGCGAGCAGGCCCGUCACACACCCCAUCAGCCCCAGCCCUGGUCCCGACGAGGACACCGAGGUUCAGGGUGGACCUCGGAAUCACGGCUGGCAUGUCGCAGGAUUCCAGGGCAGUUUUCUUGACUCUGAGGGGAGCGGGCUCUCCAGCAGGCCGCAGAACCUUCGGCUGGGUGAUUUUUGCCGAAGCCUUUGGCCCCGGCCCUGCAGCCUGCCAUUGGCUCUCUUUCAGGGUCACGGGAGGGAGAAACCCUUUGCUCUGAACGUUUGUUUCCCUUCCUGUUUCGCUUCAGUGGACAUUACAGGCUCUGAAUGGGGAGCCUGAGCCCCUGGCUCCCAUGGGCUGGUGGUUCGGAAAGCAAAGCAGCGCACGCGUGUGGCCGGCCACGCUGGCCGGGCUGCGGUCCCCAGAGGACACUCGGUCCACAGCAGACACCCCCCCGCCGCCCCCUGCCACCGCCUGCCCACCCCACACAUGCUCAGGGCAGAUCUCUGACAGGGAGGCUUUCUGCAAGCCCAGUCUCCUCGGGGCUGUGCUGUCUGGCCCGCAGGACUCAGUGGAUUCUCUUUUACUGAAAUACGCAUUUCAGAUAUUUUGUGGCUUCUCGUACAUUUUGUUUAAAAUGAGUUGAAGUUGGAACCUACGAGAGAUAUUUGAAAAAUCUUCCUUAAACACUGAAAAAAAAAAAAAAAAAAAAAAAA
rnacentral:lncRNA from 1 species